UAACGGCGAGUGAAGCGGGAAGAGCUCAAAUUUGAAAUCUGGUAGCCUUCGGUCUGCCCGAGCUUGUAAUCUAGAGAAGUGUUUUCCGCGUUGGCCCAUGUACAAGCUCCCUUGGAACAGGGCGUCAUAGAGGGUGAGAAUCCCGUCCUUGACAUGGACCCCCAAUGCUUUGUGAUACACUUUCAACGAGUCGAGUUGUUUGGGAAUGCAGCCCAAAAUGGGUGGUGAAUCUCCAUCUAAAGCUAAAUAUUGGCGAGAGACCGAUAGCGAACAAGUACCGUGAGGGAAAGAUGAAAAGCACCUUUGGAAAGAGAGUUAAACAGUACGUGAAAUUGUUGAAAGGGAAACGAUUGAAGUCAGUCAUGCUCUUUGGAUUAAGCCGUUCUGCGGUGUAUUUCAUUGAGCGGGGUCAACAUCAGUUUUGAUCGCUGGAAAAGGGCAGGAGGAAGGUAGCACUCUCGGGUGAACUUAUAGCCUCUUGUCGUAUACAGUGAUUGGGACUGAGGAACGCAGCAUGCCUUUUGGCCGGGAUUCGUCCACGUACAUGCUUAGGAUGUUGACAUAAUGGCUUUAAACGACCCGUCUUGAAACACGGACCAAGGAGUCUAACAUAUCUGCGAGUAUUUGGGUGUCAAACCCGAGUGCGCAAUGAAAGUGAACGUAGGAGCGAUCCGCAAGGUGCAGCUUCGACCGAUCUGGAUCUUUAGUGAUGGAUUUGAGUAAGAGCAUAUAUGUUGG
rnacentral:rRNA from 1 species